UUGAGCCGUAUGCUCCGAAAGGUGCACGUACGGUUCUUAGGGGGCUGGACGCGGGUGACCGCGCUUGGCUACCCGAC
rnacentral:ncRNA from 1 species